GGCUCAGGACGAACGCUGGCGGCGUGCCUAAUACAUGCAAGUCGAACGCGUCUUGGUUAUUGAUGUUAGAUGCUUGCAUUUAACUGAUUUAACAUUGAGACGAGUGGCGAACUGGUGAGUAACACGUGGGUAACCUGCCCUUGAAGUAGGGGAUAACACUUGGAAACAGGUGCUAAUACCGUAUAACAACCAAAACCACCUGGUUUUGGUUUAAAAGAUGGCUUCGGCUAUCACUUUAGGAUGGACCCGCGGCGUAUUAGCUUGUUGGUAAGGUAACGGCCUACCAAGGCAAUGAUACGUAGCCGACCUGAGAGGGUAAUCGGCCACAUUGGGACUGAGACACGGCCCAAACUCCUACGGGAGGCAGCAGUAGGGAAUCUUCCACAAUGGACGAAAGUCUGAUGGAGCAACGCCGCGUGAGUGAUGAAGGGUUUCGGCUCGUAAAACUCUGUUGUUGGAGAAGAACAGGUGUGAGAGUAACUGUUCACAUCUUGACGGUAUCCAACCAGAAAGCCACGGCUAACUACGUGCCAGCAGCCGCGGUAAUACGUAGGUGGCAAGCGUUGUCCGGAUUUAUUGGGCGUAAAGCGAGCGCAGGCGGUUUCUUAGGUCUGAUGUGAAAGCCUUCGGCUUAACCGGAGAAGUGCAUCGGAAACCAGGAGACUUGAGUGCAGAAGAGGACAGUGGAACUCCAUGUGUAGCGGUGAAAUGCGUAGAUAUAUGGAAGAACACCAGUGGCGAAGGCGGCUGUCUGGUCUGUAACUGACGCUGAGGCUCGAAAGCAUGGGUAGCGAACAGGAUUAGAUAC
rnacentral:rRNA from 1 species